GGUGAACGCUGGCGGCGUGCCUAAUACAUGCAAGUCGAGCGAACGGACGAGAAGCUUGCUUCUUUGACGUUAGCGGCGGACGGGUGAGUAACACGUGGAUAACCCACCUAUAAGACUGGGAUAACUUCGGGAAACCGUAGCUAAUACCGGAUAAUAUUUUGAACCGCAUGGUUCAAUAGUGAAAGACGGCCUUGCUGUCACUUCUAGCUGGAUCUGCGCUGCAUUAGCUAGUUGGUACGGUAACGGCUUACCAAGGCAACGAGGCAUAGCCGACCUGGGAGGGUGAUCGGCCACACUGGAACUGAGACACGGUCCAGACUACUACGGGAGGCAGCAGUAGGGAAUCUUCCGCAAUGGGCGAAAGCCUGACGGAGCAACGCCGCGUGAGUGGUGAAGGUCUUCGGAUCGUAAAACUCUGUUAUUAGGGAAGAACAUAUGUGUAAGUAACUGUGCACAUCUUGACGGUACCUAAUCAGAAAGCCACGGCUAACUACGUG
rnacentral:rRNA from 1 species